CCAGAUAGUAGCCUGUCUAGUGGGCCAUAUGUUGGACGGACGUUGUACUCGACGGACGGCGAGAGGCAGAGCAGUGGCUCGAGAUGUCACCGGCGUUCUGAUCCGUGGAUCAGAAUUCGUGUUUUCCGGUUACAACGGCAGCGGGUGCAGUAAAUGUGGUUGUCGGUCGGCAGGUGCAGCUACCUCCUACCUACCGUCCUUGGAUCUGGAUUUUGGAGAGCGGCAAAGCAAUCGAGAAAGCUCCUGCUACGAAGCGACCACUCCAAUCCGCCUGGUAUGGAGUUCUUGAUGCAGCCAAUAAACAUCAGAACUCUGCUAGAGGAGGUCAACGAGAGCAACAUCCCCAUGAAUCCUCUUCAGUACCCGGUGAGGACGCCGCCGGCUGUUGCGGUGCCGACCGAAAUGGCAUCGAGUGCAGACGCCUAGAUUGUUGCUGCUGUAGCUGCUACAAAGGCUGGCAGUGGAGACAAGCCUUAGGGGUUCAGAGAAUUCCAUAGAGCAAGUUGAUCCGAAAACUCCCGGCUGGAUUAAAAGAGUGACAGUUGUGACUGCUGCACUAGGCAGAGCACCAUGUCCUGAAAGAAAACAAUCGGGCAGUUUGCAGAGCAGCCUGGGGACAUUGUCAUUGUGCCAAAGAUAGGAAGAAGCCUUUGACACACCUGGAGAGGCCUAUGAUUUUUACAAUUUCUACUCAUGCGAGAAAGGAUUUGACAUCAGAUAUGGAAAAGGCAGGCUAAAUGUAAAUCGGGCAAAAUGCAUGCGAGAGAUAGCAUGUGGCUGUGCGGUACGCCAUUUUUUCAUAAAUUAUCCUUAUUCUUUUUUAUGACUUACUCAAUAAUCUGCUGCGGUCAACUUAAGUAAGUUGAUGUUAUUAUUUACGGGGGAAGCCAAUAGUUGAAAAAUACUCACUCUUGACUGAUAAGGUUGUUGCGUUCGAAGGACAACAGUUGAUACAUAGCUGAGCAUCAGGAUGAGCACAGCCAUUCGUUGUCGCUCACAUAUCGACAGACAAUACACUGGCCAUCACACAAGCAUAUAGAUGAGUACAGCAGGGACAUUACCAAGAAGCUGCGGCAGAACAAUGUGAACCUGGCAAAGGUUUAAAGCAUCAUUGGCACUUUUUUUGGCAGGAUGGAAAAUGUACCUUUCACAAAAAGAGCGCUGCGAAAUCUGUGUGGUAAAAUCAGCCGUGAACAAGCGGAGAAUGAUGCCAGAAAAACAAUGGAAGUGUUUCAGGAACUGUGUUCCAAGGAUCCCCAGUUCACUUAUUGUGUUCAGGCUAACAACGAAGGGCGGAUCAGUAGUCUUAUGUAGGCUAGUGAUAACAGCAGGUUGCAGUGCACCUUCUUUGGGGAUGUUGUGACAUUUGAUACAACCUACAAGACCAGAGGGACAAUGCUUAACAGAACCCAUUUAGUUACAGGCAUUUCAAUAUGUAUAUGCAUGCUAUGGAGCUUGUACGCAUGGGCGAUAGUAGUGUCGAAGCAUACUAGCAUCUCCUCACAUUGUUCAAGAAAUGUGCUGCUGAAAUGAAGCCAUUUACAGAGGUACAGGAUGGGAUAGGAUUGCAAGAAAGGCUAGCUGACAACGGAGAUGUUUUGAACAAAGUUCAGUCAGAAGGCGCAGUGGUCUCUUGAGGAGUUGGAACACAUUGUGUUGUGACCAAUGAGGACAACAAUUCAGGAAACGAGUCGGGGUACAUGCUUGCAGGGUUAUUGCCACCAGCUAAGCAGAAGGAGAUCGGGAAGCCUGCGACAAGUAGAGAGAAGGCAUCAUAUGAAGGACUGAGUGAACGAACAAGAUUCUAUAGCUUAUGUUGACGUCAAAGGCCACAAAUGGACAACUUUCCCUGAUCGCGAUGAUGUUCCAAAGCAGCCUCGGAAGCCAACACGAUGCAAAAAUUGUGAUGUCGAAGGACACCGCCGGAACAAGUGUCAAAGGGCGGCCGAGCUCAUACUGAAAAAUAUUUGAUGGUUAUCACUUAAUUUGCCAAUUGUACCACUUUGUUAGGCAGAUACUAGAUUGUGUUGUACCUGUAAAAUUUGUAUUUCUUGGACCUAGAUGAUCAUAAAAUGUGUGUUAGUACUCUGCCUAAAAAUAACUCAUCGAACAUGGUGGACAAGGGGCAGUUUCAUACUUAUAAAACUUGCUUGCUGGUGUCGCCGA